rnacentral:rRNA from 1 species
UACAGAGGUCCCAAGCGUUGUUCGGAUUCAUUGGGCGUAAAGGGUGCGUAGGUGGCGCUGUAAGUCGGGUGUGAAAUUUCGGAGCUUAACUCCGAAACUGCAUUCGAUACUGCGGUGCUUGAGGACUGGAGAGGAGACUGGAAUUCAUGGUGUAGCAGUGAAAUGCGCAGAUAUCAGGAGGAACACCGGUGGCGAAGGCGGAUCUCUGGGCCUGUCCUGACGCUGAGGCGCGAAAGCUAGGGGAGCGAACAGG